AUAAUGUUAUAUUAUUUUUAUAAUAAUACAUAUCUGCAAACCAAAUGUUUUUCUGAAAACCCCUUUUUGCAUCUUCAAUAGUUGUAGAUGUUCCAACGUUCGUAGACCUUUCAUACAAAAAUACCUAAUACUGUCUGUUUCAUCGGUUCCUCCAAUACAGGAUAUUUGGUUUAGAGAACAAAGGCUAUGAAUUCAAACAACAGGAGGGGAUGUCGUGACAUUCUGUCUGCAACCGGGUUGGGGGGGGGGUCACCGGCCGCAGAUUAGAGAUAUCUAUGUUUAACCCCGGGUGGUCGGCUGAUAUAUCGACAUGCCUUAUGCAUGAUAGUGCACACCUUGGUUUCAAACGAUUCUCUACAGAUAGAAUGGGGCUACAUGCUUGGGCCCCUGUUGAACACACACCCCCACCCUUUGUUUUUGAAACAAACACACACACACACACACACACACACUCCUGCUGCUCCGUCACACGCACACUCAUGCACGCACCCUGAUUUUCCGUGUCUUUUUUCUUCGUGACAGACCGGGUUGAUGUCGUGAAAGGACAUUUUCCUAACGUUAAAGGGUGAGAUACAUUUUUUAAACCAGUGAUUUAAUUCCAAAAUAUUUAGUACAUACGUUUUAAAGACGUGUUAGAAUUAAUGACCAAAUUGUACUACUAUUUAAACAAGAAUCAUUAGUAUUUUAUGUAAAAACAUUGGAGGUCUACAGUUGUACCGCACACUCACGCACGCACGCACCCGGAUUUUCUGUAUUUUUUUCUUCGUGGCAGACGUGGUUGAUGGCUUGAAAGGACAUUUUCCCUUCGUUAAAGGGUGAGAUACUGUUUUAAAACCAUUGAUUUAAGACCCAAAAUAUAUAGUACUAACUUUUUAAAGACAUGUUCGAAUUCAUUACCAAAUUGUACUACUAUUUAAACAUGCAUCAUUAGUGUUUUUAUGUAAAAACAUUGGAGACCUACAGUUGUACAUUAUUACAAACUUUAUAACAUACCAUUGUAGGAAAGACUAUAAAUUGCUUCUGAGAAUCUACGUCUAACAGUCGCUUCCCAAUCACCUAUGUCCAGUAGCCUUCAGAAAUAUCUAUUAGGAGGGAUUCCCUUAUUCACAUCUCUUUUUUAAUCUGUCCUGGCAGCUAAAUAUUCGGGGCUGUGGGUUUGCGCUAAAGCUGUGGUAACAGUGUUUAAAGUAUAUGCUCCACGUUCUGUCCCUAACUAUGUGUGUGUUUCGAGACAUUUUUUUUUUGUUUUAGUUUUAUAAUGGUUACAGUCGGGGUUUGUACAGAGUUGGUUAAAUCCGCUCUUUUGCUCCCCGUUUACAUGGCUAAUAAUCUCCAAGCUGCUCUAAACGGUGUUGUUUGUGUGAAUAUUGUUUUCCAUAAAGUUAAUAACCCCCCUAAAACGAAAUAUGAAAUGACCUCUUCCCCUAUCGUUAAAGCGUGCGAUACAUUUUUAAAACCAGUGAUUUAAUUCAAAAUAUUUAGUACCUACAUUUUAACACAUGUUAUAAUUCCAAAUUAUGUGUCCGCUGUGCGGGGAAAAUGAUAAUACAAGCGGAACUACGUAGCUAAUACUGUUGUAACUGGGGAUCCUUAUUGUAGCAACACACUUUUGUAGGGAAGGCAAUCCUGCGCUGCGUUAGCUAAAUUUUCAUGUCAUCGGGUGUAGUUCAUAAAGGUUGAAGAGUGUAUGUUAGGAUGAAGUGUGAAUUCAUGCCAGGAAUAAUAAGUGUGAAGUUUGAUUUCCUCCCUUCUGUAAUAAGCAGCCAAUGAGUUCUCACUGAAGGGGAUAAUUCUCACUGAAACUACUGAAUAAAGCCGCCAGUUAAAAUCA